rnacentral:lncRNA from 1 species
AAGAGGUGGAGCUAUGUCAUUCUUACAACUUUUCUCUUUGUAAAUUACCAUAUUCCUUCUGGGUAAGGAUGGCUUCUUCAUCCCUCUGUCUUCAAGGGCCACCCAUCUGAAUGCUCCCUUCACGGUUUUUCAUCAUUUAUUGAACGUCUGCCAAGUGAGCAUUCACAGAUGGCUAACACGCAGUGUUGAGAGUGGAGCAAGACAAUCUGAGUCACCUCGGAGAGUGCUAGGUUGGGAGAAGCAGAAGUUUGGGAGCCGAAGUCACCGUCUCUAGACCUUGGAUGUGUAGGAGAGUGGCUGGUAUCCUCACGUGGGCAGAGGGAUUGUCCCAGGGAAAGGAACACAGAACCCACACAGGAUGGCUCAGGGCUGGCACCUCGGCCUGGAGGUGACGAAGGAGGACCAAAAGCUCCUUUCCAAGCUCUUAAGGCAGCCUGCAGC